GCAAACUUGGUCAUUUAGAGGAAGUAAAAGUCGUAACAAGGUCUCCGUUGGUGAACCAGCGGAGGGAUCAUUAUAGAGUUCUACAACUCCUAAACCCAUGUGAACAUACCACUGUUGCCUCGCGCAUGGUACCUGCCUCGUGGCGUGGACCCCGACUCGGGCUCCUAAUCACCGCUCGGCGCCGCCUACCCGGCGGUGUCGGGUAGAGGGAGGACUCCCAGCGCGGUGGCCCUAAACUCUUGUUUUACUUGAAUCUCUGAAUCAAAACUUAAUAAGUUAAAACUUUCAACAACGGAUCUCUUGGUUCUGGCAUCGAUGAAGAACGCAGC
rnacentral:misc_RNA from 1 species